rnacentral:lncRNA from 1 species
CGAAGCCCACUACGAAGCCCAUUCAAAUGGUGAAUAGAGACAAAGAAGCAGUAGCUGUCUCUGCAACAAACCGUAUUCAAAGAUGCAGCUCAAAGAGUACGGAGAGGCAGAGAUUGCAGCUGCACAACCGAUAUGCUCUCUUGACCGUUGAUGGUUCCUAAGAAGACAGCUGGCUGGCCUGUGUCUAGAUCCUUCUUUACAGUCUUUAAAUACAUUAGUUUUGUAACCUAAAACCUUU